GUCAGAGGCGAUGAAGGACGUGCUAAUCUGCGAUAAGCGUCGGUAAGGUGAUAUGAACCGUUAUAACCGGCGAUUUCCGAAUGGGGAAACCCAGUGUGAUUCGUCACACUAUCAUUAACUGAAUCCAUAGGUUAAUGAGGCGAACCGGGGGAACUGAAACAUCUAAGUACCCCGAGGAAAAGAAAUCAACCGAGAUUCCCCCAGUAGCGGCGAGCGAACGGGGAGCAGCCCAGAGCCUGAAUCAGUGUGUGUGUUAGUGGAAGCGUCUGGAAAGGCGUGCGAUACAGGGUGACAGCCCCGUACACAAAAAUGCACAUACUGUGAGCUCGAUGAGUAGGGCGGGACACGUGGUAUCCUGUCUGAAUAUGGGGGGACCAUCCUCCAAGGCUAAAUACUCCUGACUGACCGAUAGUGAACCAGUACCGU
rnacentral:rRNA from 1 species